ACUCAAAGGAAUUGACGGGGGCCCGCACAAGCGGUGGAGCAUGUGGUUUAAUUCGACGCAACGCGAAGAACCUUACCUGGGCUCGAACGGCUUCUCAACGGUCUGUGAAAGCAGGCUAUCCCGCAAGGGAGUGGAGUCGAGGUGCUGCAUGGCUGUCGUCAGCUCGUGUCGUGAGAUGUUGGGUUAAGUCCCGCAACGAGCGCAACCCUUGUCCCGUGUUGCUAAUCCGUAAGGAUGCACUCUCGGGAGACCGCCAGCGAUAAGUUGGAGGAAGGUGGGGAUGACGUCAAGUCAUCAUGGCCUUUAUGUCCAGGGCUACACACGUGCUACAAUGGGCGGUACAAAGCGCUGCGAAACUGCGAAGUGAAGCUAAUCGCACAAAACCGUCCUCAGUUCGGAUUGCAGGCUGCAACUCGCCUGCAUGAAGCUGGAAUCGCUAGUAAUGGCAGAUCAGCAUGCUGCCGUGAAUACGUUCCCGGGCCUUGUACACACCGCCCGU
rnacentral:rRNA from 1 species